rnacentral:piRNA from 1 species
GGUCUCCUGGGUGGGCUGUAAUCUGA